AAUCUGCUCAAUGAAUUUUAAAUUGCUGCAGUAUUUGACUGUACGAAGGUAGCGUAAUAAAUUGUUUUUUAAAUGGAAACUAGAAUGAAGGAUUUCACAAGAAAUAUACUGUCUCUUGAUUAAAUUUUUAAUUUUACUUUGUAGUUAAAAGGCUAUAAUUAAUUUAAGGGACGAGAAGACCCUAUAGAGUUUGAUUUAUUAUAAAGUUGAUGAUUUAUAUGAUUAAUUGUUUUUUUCUUUAAAAUAAAUUUAGUUGGGGUUACUAAAAGAUAAAAUUAAUUCUUUUUAUUUAAAUCAUUGAUUUUUGAAUAAGUUUUAUUUGAUUAUUGAAUAUAAAUUUAAUUACCUUAGGGAUAACAGCGUAAUUUAGUUUUGAAGUUCUUAUUUGAAGCUAAGUUUGCGACCUCGAUGUUGGAUUAAAAUUAAAUUUUAAUGGAGAUAUUAAAAAUUUAAGUCUGUUCGACUUUUAAAAUUUUACAUGAUCUGAGU
rnacentral:rRNA from 1 species